CCUACGGGAGGCAGCAGUGGGGAAUAUUGGACAAUGGGCGAAAGCCUGAUCCAGCAACGCCGCGUGAGGGAUGACGGCCUUCGGGUUGUAAACCUCUUUCAGUAGGGACGCGGUACCUACAGAAGAAGCACCGGCCAACUACGUGCCAGCAGCCGCGGUAAUACGUAGGGUGCGAGCGUUGUCCGGAAUUAUUGGGCGUAAAGGGCUCGUAGGCGGUCUGUUGCGUCAGGAGUGAAAACUCGGGGCUUAACCCCGAGCCUGCUUCUGAUACGGGCAGACUAGAGGUAUGCAGGGGAGAACGGAAUUCCUGGUGUAGCGGUGAAAUGCGCAGAUAUCAGGAGGAACACCGGUGGCGAAGGCGGUUCUCUGGGCAUUCCUGACGCUGAGGAGCGAAAGUGUGGGGAGCGAACAGGAUUAGAUACCCUUGUAGUC
rnacentral:rRNA from 1 species